AAUGGAGCUGAGCACAAUGGCACACCUCUGUGAUCCCAGCUACUCGGGAAUCUAAGGCAGGAGGACUGCUGAAGGCCAGAGUCCAGGAGCUUUGGGCCAUAGUGUGUUAUGUUUAUCAGGUGUUCACACUAAAUUUGACAUCAAUAUUGCAAAUUCCUGGGAACAGGGACCAGCAGUUUGCCCAAGGAGGAGUGAACCAGCCCAGGUCAGAAGCAGAGCAGGUCAGAACUCUCAUGCUGAUCAGUAGUAGGAUCAUGCCUGUCAACAGCCACUGCACUUAAGCCCAGGCAAUAUAGCGAGACC
ensembl:misc_RNA Metazoa_SRP Metazoan signal recognition particle RNA